GGCUCUGACCUGUCAGCCCAGAGUCCAACGCGGGGCUCGAACCCACAAACCGUGAGAUCAUGACCUGAGCUGAGGUUGGACACCCAACUGACUGAGCCACCCAGGUGCCCCUAAAGCUGUAGUUUUAAAGAUCAUCAAAUGAGCAAGUCAUAUGGUCCAACUCCAAAUCAAAAGAUAAGGAACCAUCCUGUGCUUAUCAAGAAGCCAUGGUAAGAGGGGGCUGCAUACUAUAGGUCCACAGAGCAAGGAGCCAGAAGGGAGUGACAACAGGUGUUGAGGAGGAGAGGAGCCCACAACUGAGCAACGUCUGGGAGGGCUGUGCUGGAGCAGCGAGAACAGCAGGACAACCUGAAAGAUACAGCAUUUUAUUUGCAAAAUCUUUGCCAACUAACUUGAAGAAUGAAAGAAAAUAAUUCCAUCGCUAUCUCAAAAAGAACAUCUUUUAAGCUUCCCUCCCAACCUGAGCACCCUGGAAUCCCAGACAUUCCAAUCCUUCUGUUCUGACUCAAAUCCCCACCAUGGCAUAGAUGCAUAAUUCCCGUGGGAAGGAAACCUGAGACAGGCAGAAGCCAUUUAAGGAACGUGCACUGUACUUUCUGGUAGAGAGGGCAGCAGGGAGCACACGUCUCUGAGUCAGGCAAGGACGCCACGUGGCUGACGGCCAUCUCUCUUCAGCCAGCACAGCCUCGCAACAGCGUGACCUGGGGGGGUGUCUCAGCUGAAGAUCAAUGUCUCUGCAUCUCCAGCUUGGGAGGCGGAGUUGGAUGGAGGGGUGAAUGCUUUCUUGCCUUCAGCUAGAGCUUUAAAAUGCUGUGAGGAGAGAGGAGAGGGUACACGGAAUUUGUGGUACGUUGGCUGCUAUAUCUGAGCAAGAACUAACCUCUUCACCACCCGUAAUGCUCCAGUUUUUUCUAGGUUCCAUUUCAGAACAAUUCCUUGGUGCUGUUUUUGAAAAACAGCUAGAAAUCUGCCCCGCCUCCUUCAAAGAUGAACCCCUCUCCUUCGGUCCUGCUUCCAUCCGUUAGGCCACAUGGUUCUCCCACAAGGAGUGUCCUUGGUAGACCCUCACAAGCCUGGCCACGCCGAAGGCCCACAGCCAUUCCGCCUGCCUUCCUGUGAAAGCCCAACCCUCCUGCUUGCUGCUCUUUUAAUGACAGAGAAGGGUGAUGGUAACUCCAGCAGAAACAUCCUUGUCAAAGGAUCCUUCCCUUGUCAAAGGACACAUCACAGCCAACUCGGAGGAGUGGAGACUACAGUGAUCUGGCUACAGCUUAGAGCACUUUCUGAUGCUAGCCUCACCUGUGAGUUCUUGAAUUCCGAGUAGAGGGAAAAGAGCAGGUGUAGGGACUGAAUCCGACUCUUGUAGACAGGGAUGUCGAGGAUGGCUGAAAUCAAGAACUCCCAUGAGCAGAACCAAACAAAACCGGGAAUUAUCUGUUUAGAAUAGCCAAGCCCCUCCCAGAUGGGACGUGUUACUAUGCCUCUGGGGGUUAAACACCUGGCAGGGAGUCACCUAAGCCCAAAUACCGCCUUCAAUGCUGCCAAAUAGUAAACUGGCUUAAAGCGAGGGCCGCAACUCAAGAUGCUGUCUUCCGAGAGUAAACAAGCCUUUUCAAAAGCCCACAAUGUAUUCAUCCAGAAACGGAACCGGGAAGGGAUGGGGGAACUUACCACAGAUCAUGUCAAUGUACUCUGCCAGGCUGCAGUCGAUCUCUGCCGUGGGCAGGCUCACCUAGGAGGAGCGUGGGACGGACCAAAGUCAGAAGGCUGAAGCUUCAGUGGGGCCAGCACCCCUCCCUCUCUCUGAAGGAAGAGAGCUCCCAGCAUAAGGCAUGUCAUGUGCUCCCCCCAAAUUCCUAUAUUGAAGCCCUAACAGCCAGUACCUCAGAAUAGGACUGUAUUGGGAGACACAGUCUCAAGAGACAUAAUGAAGCUAAAAUGAGGUCAUCAGGGUGAAUCCUAAUCCAGUAACUGGUGUCCUUAUAAGAAGAGCAAAUCAGGACACAGGCACACACAGAGGGAAGACGGCCAGGAGAGAGGCCCUGGAAGAAGUCAACUCUGCUGACAACUUGACCUCACACUUCUAGCAUCCAGAUGUGUGAGAAAAUAAAUUUCUGUUGUUUAAGCCACCCAAUCUGGGUCAUGAAAGCCCUGGCAAACAAUACAAUGUGCUUUUUUCCCUCUGAUCAAUAAAAUGAGAUUGGUGACAUUCAUUAACCAUAGUGGAUGAUCUAACAGGACCAAAAAAAUAAAUAAAUAAAAAUAAGUAAAAUACAC